rnacentral:rRNA from 1 species
ACGCUGGCGGCGCGCCUAACACAUGCAAGUCGAACGAGAGAUGAGGAGCUUGCUCUUCAAAUCGAGUGGCGGACGGGUGAGUAACGCGUGAGGAACCUGCCUUGAANAGGGGGACAACAGUUGGAAACGACUGCUAAUACCGCAUGAUGCAUAGGGAUCGCAUGAUUCUUAUGCCAAAGAUUUAUCGCUUCAAGAUGGCCUCGCGUCUGAUUAGCUAGUUGGCGGGGUAACGGCCCACCAAGGCGACGAUCAGUAGCCGACCUGAGAGGGUGACCGGCCACAUUGGGACUGAGACACGGCCCAAACUCCUACGGGAGGCAGCAGUGGGGAAUAUUGCACAAUGGGGGAAACCCUGAUGCAGCGACGCCGCGUGAGCGAAGAAGUAUUUCGGUAUGUAAAGCCUCUAUCAGCAGGGAAGAAAAAUGACGGUACCUGACUAAGAAGCCCCGGCUAACUACGUG